GGACGAACGCUGGCGGCGUGCUUCAUACAUGCAAGUCGAACGAGAAUCUUACUUCGGUAAGAGGAAAGUGGCGGACGGGUGAGUAAUAUGUAGAGAAUCUGCCCUUAAGCGGGGGACAACAGUUGGAAACGACUGCUAAUACCCCAUAUGAGCGUACCUGAAAUGGUAUUCUUGAAAACUCCGGUGCUUAAGGAUGAGUCUGCAUCUGAUUAGCUAGUUGGGGGUGUAAUGGACCACCAAGGCGACGAUCAGUAGCUGGUUUGAGAGGAUGAUCAGCCACAAUGGGACUGAGACACGGCCCAUACUCCUACGGGAGGCAGCAGUAGGGAAUUUUGCGCAAUGGGCGAAAGCCUGAACCGCAGCAACGCCGCGUGAACGAGAAGCCCUUCGGGGUGUAAAGUUCUGUCAGUAGGGACGAACAAUGACUGUACCUACAGAGGAAGCACCGGCUAACUCCGUGCCAGCCGCGGC
rnacentral:rRNA from 1 species